rnacentral:RNase_P_RNA from 1 species
ACUGCAAGCCUGCUAUCGCCGCCACCAUGUGGAGGAGGAAAGUCCGGACAGCACAGAGCGACCUGCCAUCUAACGGAUGGUUCUAACAACAAAUGUUGGGAGGAAAGUGCCACAGAAAAUAACCGUCUUAUUACUUACAGUAAUAAGGUAAGGGUGAAAACGAGAGGUAAGAGCUCACGGCUUGUUAUGGUAACAUAGCAGGAGGGUAAACCCCAGGUGCUGAAAUGUCAAAUAAGUGAAUGUUCGAGAACUGCUCGUUCGAUGUUCAUGGGUAGACAGAUGGAUUGUGAUGGUAACAUUACGACUAGAUAAAUGAUAGCUUUUCGGAUUUAUCCGAUAAACAGAAUCCGGCUUAUGUGCUUGCAGUUUUU